rnacentral:lncRNA from 1 species
UGUUGGAUUAAGCUAUCUAUUGAUAACUUAUUCAGUAUGCACGAUCAUGUUUUGAUGUAUAAACAUUUUUUUCAAUAUUUCUCAAGAGACUUAAAAAGUAUUUUGUAGAUGGACAGUGUGAUUAAAUGUCUAGAACAAAAAUAGCUAAUAUAUUUAUCAUUUGAAGAUAUUUUUCAGAACGCAAUAAAUCACCUCAUAAGAAGAAUAUACGCCGCUGCAAAAUUCUAAAUGCCGUGACCUUUCUAAAAGCAAAGUUCGAACUCCUUGUUUCCAAGCAAACACGAAAAUCCUCGUCUGAAAAAAUUAUCCUCCAAUAAUUUAUUCCAACAUCCAAUCACUUUCAGUCACUUUCAAUAGGAUUCUAACUCAAUACAUAAUACACAUAUCAAUACUUUAUUCGACAUAUUGCUUUAAUUUAAUCAA